GACCCAGAACCUUCUGCGGGCCCAGAAACUGCUGCCGUCACGGAGGCUCCUCCCCCUUCAUGAAUAACCCUCAGCUCAACGUGGACCAGCAGCCAACUCACCUUCCUGAGGAGGUCGGGGCCCAGCCACAGCGACACGGCCUUCCUGCCCCUCCCGGGAGACGAGCCCUGCUGGGGGUGGACACUGCUCCAUGCCAGCCGGCUUAGGCUCCAGGGGCCGCUUCAGUCCCGAGCGCGCGGCCAGGGCCUCGGGGAUCUCACCACACCGUGUCAUCCAUCCAGGGUCCAGACCGUCAGGAGCCUCUAACCGUGGCUGUGGUCAUCCUUGAUCUCCGACUUGCCCGGGGACCGACCUCUUGGGUGUGAAUGUUCAGACCGUAUGGACGAGCCAUGGUGCACGGCCCUUGAAGGGGUGUUCGUGGAGGGCAGGCACUUGAGGCAGCAGUCAAAUCGCCGCUCAGGACGCCCGCCUCCCCGUCAGAGCGCCUGGGCUCCAGGGCCCACUCAGGACACCCGCCUCCCUGUCAGAGCGCCUGGACCCGAGUGCCCACUCAGGACGCCCACCUCCCCGUCAGAGCGCCUGGACCCGAGUGCCCACUCAGGACGCCCGCCUCCCCGUCAGAGCGCCUGGGCUCCAGGGCCCGCUCAGGACACCCGCCUCCCCGUCAGAUUGAGUCCGCUCAGGACACCCGCUUCCAGACAGAGCACCUGGACCCGCCGUGUUCAUUCAAGAUGCCCGCCUCCCAGUCAGAUCGCCUGGUCUCCA
rnacentral:lncRNA from 1 species